GAAAACUUGUUCUGGCCAAUAUAUGUCUUCUAGAAGCCUUGGAGGACGUCUCUUGAAAGUGGGACCACGAGUUUUUAAGUGUAGAAGUCGCCUGGUGUGAACACAAGUGUGUAUGGUUCCAUUUAAGGCAAGUCUUGGUCUAGGGGGCUUUUCUUUAGUGUGAACGCUCCAAAUAGAUUCUGAGCUUUCUUUUCUCUUCCAUGUACGUCUAAUAUGAUCUCCAGGGACUUGAGAAUUCGCAGCAACACUUGAAAAGGAGAAAUAAAGCUUGAACUCAUGACUCGGCUCUCGGUAGGCUCUAAAUGGAGGGUCUCGGGCAACUUCUAAAUGAACUCGUUCCAGGGGAAUUCUUCCACGACAAAAUGUCUUCUUGUAGG
rnacentral:lncRNA from 1 species